CGUCAGAGCUUACUCAUUAUACUCAAUAAAUCCCUGAAACAUAUUAAAACCCUACCCCGAUACUGAAUAAUUCCAUACACCUAUGGAAGCUAUUAUGUUAAAACAAGUAACAUGAAGUUAAACCUUCUCUCCAAUGUAAACUUAAGUCAGGAUGGACAACACACUGACAAUUAACAGCUUAAACUAAAGUGACAACUCAACCCAAGAAAACCCCACUAUACUCAUCUGUUAACCUAACACAAGAACAUUUAGAGAAAGACUUAAAGAAAAAGAAGGAACUCGGCAAAACCUGAUUCCGCCUGUUUACCAAAAACAUCGCCUCCUGAAUCUAAAACCAUAGGAGGUCCAGCCUGCCCAGUGACUCUGUUUAACGGCCGCGGUAUCCUAACCGUGCGAAGGUAGCGUAAUCACCUGUUUUUUAAUUAAAGACCUGUAUGAAAGGCAUCACGAGAAUCACACUGUCUCCUUUCUCAAGUCAGUGAAACUAAUCUCCCCGUGAAAAAGCGGGGAUGCCACUACAAGACGAGAAGACCCUUUGGAGCUUAAGACAAUGUGAAUAUUUCGCCCACUUUUAACCCCGCACCUCAUGGCACCCUAUUUACAAGUCUUGGGUUGGGGCAACCGCGGAGUAAAAACAAACCUCCAAGCUGAACGAAAACUUUCUAAACAAAAAGCAACAGCUUUACGUAUCAGUAAACUGACACAAUUUGACCCAAUAUACUUUGAUUAACGAACCAAGUUACCCUAGGGAUAACAGCGCAAUCCACUUUAAGAGUCCAUAUCGAAAAGUGGGCUUACGACCUCG
rnacentral:rRNA from 1 species